CCAAUUGCAUGCUGGGAAAUGCAAUAAAUUCUCUCCAGUCGGCAGCUCCCCCCGCCCCCCGGCUGAGCCGCAGGGAGGGGCGGGGGGCUGCUCCCUCCCGCCGUGACUUUGAACCCAGGCGAUCGGCUCGGGAGAGGGAAUGGAGUGUGUGCUCCGGCCCUGCAAGGCUGAAGACUGCGCGGACGUCAUGCGGAUGAUAAAGGAGCUGGCAGAGUUUGAGAAGCUCCCGGACCAGGUAGAAAUCAGCGACCGAGUGCUCCGGGAAGACGGUUUCGCCGACGACCCUUUCUACAGAUGCCUGGUGGCGGAGGUCCCGCCCGAGCACCGGAGUCGAGACGGACACACCGUCGUGGGGUACGGCCUCUAUUUCUUCACCUACAGUACCUGGAAAGGCAGGAACAUCUACAUGGAAGACUUGUACGUCAUGCCUGAGUUCAGAGGUAAAGGGAUUGGCAAGAAGCUUAUGAGUAAAAUUGCAGAGAUCGGCGUGGAGAACAGAUGCUCCCAGAUGAAGUUUGUGGUGCUGGACUGGAAUCGAGCGGCCAUCGACUUCUACCGGGGCCACGGGGCGGUGGACCUCACGGCCGCGGAGGGCUGGCACUUCUUCCACGUCGAAGGAGAUGCCCUGAAGCAGCUAGCGCGGGGGCAGCUGGGACAGUGACGUGGCCACCAGCCCCCACUCCCCUCCCAGCACCGGGGAGAGAACCCAGGAGUCCGGGAUCCCAGGCCCCCCUGCUCUGACCCACCAGCCUCCACUCCCCUCCCAGUGCCGGGAAGAGAACCCAGGAGUCCGGCCUCUCACUCCUCUGCACUUCAUAGAUGCUCCUGUAAAACGCCUUUCUGCUGAUCGAUUUCUGUGGGGGGGGGUUGGUUUCGGGGUCAGACAAGGCUCUGGGAAUGAGGAUGGUGGGAGGGCCCAGCCCCCCAGCUGCGGGGGGUCUCUAGAUCCACUGGGGUCCCGUCUCCCAGCAAGCCCCUGCCUCUAGUGCUUGGAAUAAAACCACGGGGAACAAA